rnacentral:rRNA from 1 species
UACGUAGGGUGCAAGCGUUGUCCGGAAUUAUUGGGCGUAAAGAGCUCGUAGGCGGUUUUGUUGCGUCGGCUGUGAAAACCUGAGGCUCAACCUCAGGCCUGCAGCCGAUACGGGCAGACUAGAGUUCGGCAGGGGAGACUGGAAUUCCUGGUGUAGCGGUGAAAUGCGCAGAUAUCAGGAGGAACACCGGUGGCGAAGGCGGGUCUCUGGGCCGAUACUGACGCUGAGGAGCGAAAGCGUGGGGAGCGAACAGG